rnacentral:lncRNA from 1 species
AAAUAAAUUUUUAUAAAAAAAAAUAAUUAUGGCAUAAAAAGUAACCAAAAAGAAAUAUAAGCUACAGUAAUAACUUGCACAUUACUUGAAACUUGACUUCACUCCAACAGAAAUUUAAUGUAUUAAAAAAAUUUAAUAUUUAUUAAUAGUAACUGUCUUUUAUCUUCUCUAAUUAAAUUUGCUUAUGAAUAUAAUUUACAUUAUUUCUCAAAUUUAAAUUUGAAUCCAUAAAUUCUUCAAAAAAUGAUUUUGAACAAAUUUCUAUUUCUUAAUAUGAAACAAUCUGUUUCUUUUAAAUAAAAUUAUUAUGUAUUUUUAGAAGAACAAUUGCAAUUACAUAUAAUAUGAAUAUAGACUUAAUUUUUUAUAUAAAGAAAUUAUUCUUACUAAAUUAAAAUAAACUUCCAUAAAUUUAUUAUUAAAGAUACUUAAUAAUAGAAAAAGAAACACUCAUAAAUAUUUUAUAUUGUGUAUAAAUCAGUCAGUCCUUCAUAUAUACAAAGGCUAAAAUAUAUUAAAUUAUUACAUAUACAAAAAAAUGCUACCUUUAUUGGGAAAAAUAAUGUUGUUUGAUUUAACAACUUUUGCUGAAAGUUGCCAAAGCCAGAAAAUUGAGAAAUUAGAGAAAAUAAAUACAACAAAUGAAAAGAUGUAAUAAAUUUUUGUUUUCAGUUUGUUAGCAUUCAAGAUGGGAAUAAAAUGAUUUAUUUAAAUUUAAUAUCUUGCAAAACUAUAAGUUGCUUAAAAGAAAAUAGUAAAAAUGUUUAAAACCAUAAAUAAAUUUUAUUUUUCUAAAAAAAUUAUUAUACUUCAAUUGAUAAUAUAUAAUUAUUGUUUACCAUUUGCUGCAUUUUUACUUAUUAAAAAUUGUAGAUUAUAUAUUUCCAAGAUAACUUAUAAGAAAGUUGUUUUGAAAAUAAAGUUGAUUCUAAUUCACUUUUCUUGUAUUCAAGAAAUAGUUCACAAAAUGAUAGAAAUGUGAAAUUAAAAAUUUAUAUAUUUUAGUCCAUAUAUUCAAGAUAAACCCAGAAGUAGCUUGUAGGUACUAUUCGUUAUACCGUAUUUAAUGUCACAAAUGUAGAUUCUUAAAAUUUAGCUUAUAAUAGUAGUAAUUGAUUUUAAUUUAUAUUGAUCUUAUUGUUAGAUCAUAUCAGUUUGACAUACAAUAAAUAAAAAUAAGUAGAAUAUAUAAAAGUUGCACCUUUCUAUAUUCCAUAUAACAGCAAUUCCCAUCUUCAUUUAUUCAAUAUUCUAAAAAUUCUGACUAUUUUAUGAUGAUUAACUUUGGAUUAAGUAAUUUGGAAUGUGAUUUUAUUUGUAAAAGUAUUUUUAGUUAAAUCUGAUAAAUCUUUUAUUGUUCAUUUAUUUGAUUUCUCAAUUAAAUUUUUUUAGACUUGAUCUGUUUAUAAAAAUUAGAAAAAUAAAUUAUUGGUUCUAAAGAUAAAUAUAUAAGCACUAAAAUUAAUGAUUUUUGUAAUAAUGACAAAUUUUUGAAAAUUAGUUUUGCUAGAGAAUUUUUAAUUAUCAACAUAAAAAAAUAUUUUAUUAGUUAUCUUUGCUCAAAAUUCAAUUGAUAUAUUUUUUAAUUUUUACUGCAAUUAUUUUGUAUUUAUCUCAGAGACUUAGUCAAAAAAUUAAAAUCUUCAAAUUCAAGCCAUUUUUAAUAUUUAUAAAAUUGAAACAAUAAUCCUCCAAUAACAUUUUUUAAUUGUUUAGUAUUGUUUGUUUUUAGAUGAUUUGAAUGAAAUUUUAUAAAUUGAAGUUUAUUAAUAAUUAUAACUAUAAUGUAUUGUUAUUUUGAAACAAAAGGGGUCAAUUAAAAUUUAUAAAGAGAUUUACAUUUGUGAUAUUCUCAUUUAAGUUUUGUAUAUUAAUAAUUUAUCAUAUAUAAAAUUAUUGAAAAAUUAUAUCGUAAUUUGCAUUCAAGCUCCUCCUGUAAUUUCUUGUCAUUUAAAAUAAAAAAGUUUAUGGUAUCUUUAUCUUAUUUAAUAUAUUUUAAAUGAGAAGAUAAAUAUAUAUAUACUUAGAAGCUGAACUAUUAAAUUGUUUUUAUAUAAAAAUUUAUUUUUUAAUCCAAGAUUGCAUUUAAAGAAAAUUUCAAAUUCAAAUAGAAAAUAGAAAUUCAUAGUAAAUAGAAUUUCACUGUUUUCAUAUCAGAUUAUUUUCCUAAACUUUGUUUUCUAAAUUUGUUUCUUGUUACCUGUUAAAUGAGAACUAAAAUAUGGUAGAUAAUUCUUAAUCUUUGAUUUCUGUUUGCUAUUUCUCAUAUCCAUCAUCCAUUUAAUACUGUUAUUUCAGGAUCCUGUUAUUUAUUGUAAUUCAUGUAGACAUAACCUGUACCUGUACAUUUCUAUGUACUCUCUAUUCCACAUGACCUAUACAUGUGAAUUAACAUACAUCUAUAUAUUAAUUCGCAGGUACAAGUUAAUUCAAAAACUUUAACCAGUUUAUUUUAUCAGUUUAAUGUCUUGUUUACUUUAUUUUAACUAGAAACUGUGUCUAUGAUCAGACUAUAAAGUUUAAGAAGCAAGGAAUAUUAUUAUUCUGAAAAUAAAACUGAAAAUUAUUGUUUACAAUAAUGCAUAAUCAAUUUAGAAUGAAAGCUACAAACUGAAAAUAACAAUUAGAGCUUAUUAUUAAGUACAUAAUGAUUUUGAAAAAUUAGUUUGUUAAAUGCUUGAGCAUUAGAGGAAGUAUAUUUUCAGCAUUUUUGAUUUUAAAGUGGAUGAAAAAAAUAACUUAAAUUCUUAUUAAGUUACUUUUUUCAUCCACUUAAAUUCUUAUUAAAGAGUUGACUGAAAUGAUAAAUUAAUGAUUAAAAUAAAUAUUGAUACAAAAUGUAUAUAAUUAAUGGAUGCAGAGAUUUAUUUAUGAAUUUUGAAUAUUUAUUGAAAAAAAAAUUUAUAAUAAAAUUACAACAUGAAUUAAAUGUUAUUACAGUAAUAACUUUAUUGAUUUAAUCUAUUUACCAGAAAAUUAUAUUUUGAAACUCAGAUAAGUCUGCUUUGAAAUGAAUUAUAAUAAUAGUUUCAUUUAAUUUCUGUUGUAUUUGCACAUCUAUAUCUUUUUUCAAAUGUUAUAUUUAAAUGUUCUAUUUAAAAGGAUAAUAAUGGAAUUAAUAAUUUCUUUUAAUUUAAGCAAUCUGUGUGACUGCUUUUUACUAUUUUUAAAAGUAAAAAUCAAAAUUUUAUCAACACAAAAUUAUAAUGUUAAUAAUUAUUUAUUUGCAAUAGGAAUUUUUAUGAUAGAAUAAUUACUUUGAAAUUUUUUUGAUAUUUUAUACAAUAUUAUUGAUCAAAAAUGGUAUAAGUGACAAAUUGUGUGAUGAUAAGUUAAAACUAUAGCAUGGAGAUAAAAGUUCGAAUCAAAAUUUAAAGUAACAUUAAAGCAAAAAUAAAAAUAUAAAAUUUUUUUAAUGAUUUGCUAUUUCCUACUUAUUAUGCUGUUACUAUUGAUAUUUAUCAUAUUCUUAUGAUCUUAGAUAAUUAUUUUCCUAUGUAUAGUAUAGUUUUCAGUGUUAAAAACAAUUACUGAAUCUAUAUUUGUAAACAGUAUUAAAAUAUAAAUUAUACAUAUAAAAAAUUUUGAUUCAUGUUAAAUUAAGAAACAUGAAUUUUACAAAAUAUGUUGGGCAUAUAAACUGGAAGAAAAUGUAAUUUGGUCCACAGAAAUAAUAUUAAAUUUAGUAUUUAUAUAAAAUCUUUUGAACAUAUUAAUAUCACAAUAGUUAAAAUAGAAAAACUGCUUUUGUUCAUACAACAAAAUAUGAUGUGUAUCAAUAUUUUAUAUCUUUGAAUAUAUACUUUAUAUAUAAUAUAGGCCACUGUUAAUAUUUAAUUUUAUUGCUGACAUUGUUAUGUUUCUAAUGCUAAUUUGUAGUCUAAGAAAUUUAAAAUCUCUGUUUAAAAUAUAAUUUUUAAGGCAAACUUAUAUAGAAAAAUAUAACUAGCAUAAAAUUUCAAGUGACUAAUGACAAAAGAUCAUAUAGCAUGAAGAUCAAUCUUUUGAUCUGAACUUAUUUCAUUGUUAGAAUCUUGAAAAGAAUUCGUUUAUCAAUAUCUUUAAUUAUAAUCUGAAUGUUUUUAUUGUUGAUCUCGUGAAACAUUCAAAUUGCAAAUACUGCAUGCUCAAAAAAUUUCUCUCUUGGUUGAUUAUCAUAAUAAAGAUAUUCCAGUUGUCUUGAAUAUUUUUAUGCUAAUCUUUAGUAUUAUUUCUAAUGGAAAAAGUUUUUAGUAAUAUAAUAGAUUUUGUACAAUGUAUUUUAUUGUUAAUAUAAUCUAUUACAUAUAGGAAGUGUACAUAAAAACUGGUUUUCUUAUUUCAUCACUUACACAGAUAAUGCUCAGAAAAAAAAUAUACAUAUAAAUUUUUGAAAAGUGUCAUUAAAAAAAAAUUAUUUAAUUUGUAUGUGUGUAAUCUAAAAACAAAUACAAUCAUUCAGGGAUUUUAUGAAUAUUUGCAUAUUCAUGUUCCAGGUUAAUGAUAAAAAUCUCAAUGAUAACAAAUUGAAAAUUUGAAGAAUACUUUAUCUAAAUAGCAUUUAUAACGUGUUAGACUUCGAAUGAAAACUUACACUAAUAGUUCAAUUGAUUAAUCAAAUUCCAAAUUAAAAUUUUCAAGAAAUUACUUCACAAUAUAUAUAUUUUUUUCUUUCAAAUGACAACUGUUAUCUAAAAGAAACUAUUCUAUUCAUCCCGAUUUUCUAUUUUUAAUAAAUAUUUUCUCUGUUUUUUGUUAUAUAUUUUUUUUAACUAAUUUUUAUUUUGAUUAUUCUAAUCUUUAUAUUUGUAGUUUUGAUUCACUGCUUUUAUAAGUGUUAUACGGUUAAUAUAUUAAUUAUUUUGAAUUGUAUGAAUACAGUGAUUACAUUUUUUGGAUUUCUUGUGAUAGCAAAAUCUCAAAAAUGCGUGUACCAGAAAAUUUAUUUACCAAUCAUUCAAAUUCAAAUUUUUUAAUAACCAAUCAGAAAAUAUUUAAACUUCCAAAAAUUUAAAUUUUCUUCGUAUUGGUUAUUUUGAAUUUGAAUGUGUAAUUUUUGAUAUUUUGCAUAUUUAUAAUAAAGUUGGUUAUUUUUUUUCAUAUUAAAUAUAGUUUUAUUACAUAUGUAGAUUUAAAUAUUUAUGAUGGUCUUUAAUGAAUUAUUUCUAUACCUGGUAGGCUGUUUUUCAUAAAUAAUAGUUGUGAUAUGGAAGUUAUCUAUUGUUUAAUCUCAUAACUAAAAAGUUGCCACUUAUUCCAUACGUAGAAUGGCUGUUUAAUUGCUUUUGCAAAGAUAUGUAAUUACACUGCUCUCUUAUGUGGAAUAAAAUAGACAACACUGAAUCUUUAUUUUAAAAAAGUAUAUUUAAAUCAAAUCUAUGAUAUUUAUACAUCAAAUAUAUAGCAAAUUAUUCUAUUUAUUUUUCACAAACAAAACAAUUAUGAAAUUAAAGUAAAAAAUGUC